GAUCAUGGCUCAGGAUGAACGCUGGCGGCGUGCUUAACACAUGCAAGUCGAACGGAGUUAGAUGAAACCUAGUGAUUCUAAACUUAGUGGCGGACGGGUGAGUAACGCGUGGGUAACCUGCCAUAUACAGGGGGAUAACACUUAGAAAUAGGUGCUAAUACCGCAUAAGCGCACAGGACCGCAUGGUCUGGUGUGAAAAAACUCCGGUGGUAUAUGAUGGACCCGCGUCUGAUUAGCUAGUUGGUGAGGUAACGGCCCACCAAGGCGACGAUCAGUAGCCGGCCUGAGAGGGUGAACGGCCACAUUGGGACUGAGACACGGCCCAAACUCCUACGGGAGGCAGCAGUGGGGAAUAUUGCACAAUGGGGGAAACCCUGAUGCAGCGACGCCGCGUGAGUGAAGAAGUAUUUCGGUAUGUAAAGCUCUAUCAGCAGGAAAGAAAAUGACGGUACCUGACUAAGAAGCCCCGGCUAACUACGUGCCAGCAGCGGC
rnacentral:rRNA from 1 species